rnacentral:rRNA from 1 species
AUGGUCAUCUACACUGACGAAGAGGCGUAUUGGCGACUGCGGGGAACCCAAAAGUGGGUCCUCAAGGGUGACGCUAAUACCGCCUACUUUCAGGCCAUCGCCAAUGGUCGUAGGAGACGUAAUACCAUCCCCUUGCUCUGGGAUGGGGAGACACUCUUGCAGCGUCAGGAUGACAUCCGCGCUCAUGUAGAUGGCUUUUAUAAAGCCCUCUUUUUCGCCCCCCUAGGGAGGGGGGCUUGGCCCUUGCUUCAGACUUAUGGAUUGGCACCCAGUGCAUCUCGGCCGAGGAAAAUAUGGCCCUCACGGCUCCGUUCACUGAGGAGGAAGUGUGGCUGGCGAUUAAAGGGAUGA